GGUAACAAAAUGGGAAAUUGCUAAACACACAUCCAUCUUCUGAGCGGUGCUAUCUUAAGUCUAGGAGGAAGCCUUCAAAACAGGAGCCUGGUCAAUUGCAAACCUUCCUCCUAACCCAGGCUCCUCAUCCCCAGAGCCGGCUAUGAAGAAAGACGGUUUGGGAACAGGGAAAGAGGAUCUGGUUAGGAGCCAUCCCAGCCACUUGUCUCUUAAUGUCAGUAAAGACAGGGUUUCACCAUGUUGCCCAGGCUGGUCUUGAACUCCUGACCUCAAGGGAUCCACCUGCCUUGGCCUCCCAAAAUGCUGGGAUUAUAGGUGUGAACCACUGCACCCAGCUGUUUUGAAAGGGGACACAGAACAGCUGGAUGCCAAAGAGACGUCCUAAAACAAAAUGGGAUAGCCCAUAUACUCCUAAUAAGCUGGAGGUGGACUGAAGGAACAAUCUAACAACACUUCUGGCUCUAAAAGACAAAAAAAAAACAAAACAAAAACGAAGUUACAGAUAAAUGAAAGAACUGAAGAAUAGUGCCUGCUGGUGUGCAUGACAUCAGUUUACCCCAGGCUACCUCAGCACACACUUGGGAGGCCAGCAGGCUGUUAUCCAUCUUGGACAGGGGCACGUGAACCAAGGACAAAGUGAAUAUUGAACACAUCUCAACACGUGGACAAGCCUUGGGACUCAACUUUCUC
rnacentral:antisense_RNA from 1 species